UACGUAGGGUGCGAGCGUUGUCCGGAAUUACUGGGCGUAAAGAGCUCGUAGGUGGUUUGUCGCGUUGUUCGUGAAAACUCACAGCUCAACUGUGGGCGUGCGGGCGAUACGGGCAGACUGGAGUACUGCAGGGGAGACUGGAAUUCCUGGUGUAGCGGUGGAAUGCGCAGAUAUCAGGAGGAACACCGGUGGCGAAGGCGGUUCUCUGGGCCUUACCUGACGCUGAGGAGCGAAAGCGUGGGGAGCAAACAGG
rnacentral:rRNA from 1 species